ACGACGCCCUCCGUGGCGUCCACGGGCUUCUGCAACGGGCCCAUGUGGCGGGGGUGGUGCCGUGUCGGCGCAGCACCACCCCCGGCCG
rnacentral:ncRNA from 1 species